UACAAAGGUAUUAGGUGUUUUGCGACGUUAAGGAUUCGGAUGGUCAGGGAGCGUUUGUAGCGUGAUGUGGGGGUUGUCGUGUGGUGUAGGAGGUACGGGGCGGGCCGGAAGGGUGGGACAUUGUCCAUGAACAUGGCCACCAUGGCAGCUAUUUGCUCCCAGAACGGUACUAUAAGUGGGCAUUCCCACCAUAUGUGAAGAAAGGAUCCCACCC